CGCGGGGAGGGCGGCGGUGGCUGCAGCGGCUGGAGCGGGGUAGAGACCGCCGGGUCUCGGCCCGCACCAGGAGCGGAACAAGACUUGCUCCCCGCGCCAGCCCUCGGCAGAUGGCAGGGACUUAAUUCCGUCUGCUACCCAGCUUGGCCUCAACCUAAUCGCCGCCAGCCCCUCGCCCUCCUCUGCGCUGCAGGCCUUGGGCCCGGGCAAAGCCUUUCAGAUCUGUGUGGACCCCAGAAGAUCCGUGAAGAAUAUGAAUUGAUUCCAUGCGGACAUGAAUGAGUCCUUAAACCUAGAACAUCAUGUACAUCAUCCUCCUUAAUAAUAGUAUUGAUUAUUUGGUUCUAUGCUGGGGACCGGAGGGGAUGAGAUGGUUUCCACCAGAAUGCUCACUGAGCUCUAUUACCCUUCCCUGUUCCCUGUAUUUUUUUUUUUUUUCUGAGACAGUCUUGCUCUGUCGCCCAGGUGGGAGUGCAGUGGCACGAUCUCAGCUCACUGCAAACUCCACCUCCCAGGUUCAAGCAAUUCUUCUGCCUCAGCCUCCCGAGUAGCUGGGACUACAGGUGUGUGCUGCCAUGCCCAGCUAAUUUUUGUAUUUUUAGUAGAGACGGGGUUUCACUAUCUUGGCCAGGAUGGUCUUGAUCUCCUGACCUCGUGAUCCGCCCGCCUCUGCCUCCCCAAGUGCUGGGAUUACAGGCGUGAGCCACCAUGCCCAGCCCCCUAUAUUUCUUUUUUUUGAGACAGGGUCUCGCUCUGUCCAGGCUGGAGUGCAGUGGCGUGAUCUUGGCUCAUUGAAACCUCAACCUCAUGGGUUCAGGCGAUUCUCCUGCCUCAGCCUCCUUUGUAGCUGCGAUUACAGGCAUGUGCCACCACACCUGUCUAGUUUUUUGUAUUUUUAGUAGAGACAAGGUUUCACCAUGUUGGCCAAGCUGGUCUCAAACUCCUGACCUCAAGUGAU
rnacentral:lncRNA from 10 species